AUGAAAAUUCCCUUAGGCAACAUUGUUUGCCAUUCCAAUAUGCACCCUUGCCACCCGCCCAACUUCGUCCACCCGCAGCAGCUCACCCGCCCCUCCUCCUCCUCCUCCCCUACACACCUCUUCUCAUCGUCGUCCACAGGCGAUUCCAGCAUGGUGGUCGUCGGCUCCGCGGACACCUUCGAGGACAUCCAUGCCAAGGUGCAAGUGGAGAAGCUCCCCACCGUCUUCUACUACACGGCUGUCUGGUGUGGGUCGUGUCGGGCGAUGGCACCUGUGAUCGAGAAGAUGAGCAGGCAGUACCCCAAGAUACCCGUGUACAAGGUGGACAUCGACAUGGUGAUUAGGGACUCAGGUAGCAGGAGCAAUUCUCUUGCUGGUAUGCAUGUAUGCCUCUGCUUUGGCCACGGGCCAACAAUAAAAAAGGCUACAACGUUGGGCUUGGCCCAUGAAGCCGACCAGAAUUAA
rnacentral:rRNA from 1 species